rnacentral:lncRNA from 1 species
CGUUUGAUCGGCCCUUUGAAACCCUUCACAAUUGCCUGUGACGAACGGCCAGUCUCAGUUUUUCUCGGAAUAAUGCCUAGAGGGAAACAGACAGGCAUGCAGAAGUAACUAGACGUCCAACACAUGCCAAAGUCUUGCGGGCCCAGGAUUUCAAACAAAAGAAAACUCGGGUAACGUGACUGUAAAUCAAGGGCGCUUGAGACCAUAGACAUGCGCACCUAGAAGGGUUAAUCGGCGGAGGGGGAGGAGAGAGGCU